rnacentral:rRNA from 1 species
GACGAACGCUGGCGGCGUGCUUAACACAUGCAAGUCGAACGGUAAGGCUCCAGCUUGCUGGGGUACACGAGUGGCGAACGGGUGAGUAACACGUGGGUGACCUGCCCUGCACUUCGGGAUAAGCCUGGGAAACUGGGUCUAAUACCGGAUAGGACCGCACCGUGAGGGUGUGGUGGAAAGUUUUUUCGGUGUGGGAUGGGCCCGCGGCCUAUCAGCUUGUUGGUGGGGUAAUGGCCUACCAAGGCGGCGACGGGUAGCCGGCCUGAGAGGGUGGACGGCCACAUUGGGACUGAGACACGGCCCAGACUCCUACGGGAGGCAGCAGUGGGGAAUAUUGCACAAUGGGCGGAAGCCUGAUGCAGCGACGCCGCGUGGGGGAUGACGGCCUUCGGGUUGUAAACUCCUUUCACCAUCGACGAAGGGUUUCUGACGGUAGAUGGAGAAGAAGCACCGGCUAACUACGUGCCAGCAGCCGCGGUAAUACGUAGGGUGCGAGCGUUGUCCGGAAUUACUGGGCGUAAAGAGCUCGUAGGUGGUUUGUCGCGUCGUCUGUGAAAUUCCGGGGCUUAACUCCGGGCGUGCAGGCGAUACGGGCAUAACUUGAGUACUGUAGGGGAGACUGGAAUUCCUGGUGUAGCGGUGAAAUGCGCAGAUAUCAGGAGGAACACCGGUGGCGAAGGCGGGUCUCUGGGCAGUAACUGACGCUGAGGAGCGAAAGCAUGGGGAGCGAACAGGAUUAGAUACCCUGGUAGUCCAUGCCGUAAACGGUGGGCGCUAGGUGUGGGUUUCCUUCCACGGGAUCCGUGCCGUAGCUAACGCACUAAGCGCCCCGCCUGGGGAGUACGGCCGCAAGGCUAAAACUCAAAGGAAUUGACGGGGGCCCGCACAAGCGGCGGAGCAUGUGGAUUAAUUCGAUGCAACGCGAAGAACCUUACCUGGGCUUGACAUAUACAGGAUCGCGCCAGAGAUGGUGUUUCCCUUGUGGCUUGUAUACAGGUGGUGCAUGGUUGUCGUCAGCUCGUGUCGUGAGAUGUUGGGUUAAGUCCCGCAACGAGCGCAACCCUUGUCUUAUGUUGCCAGCACGUUGUGGUGGGGACUCGUAAGAAACUGCCGGGGUUAACUCGGAGGAAGGUGGGGAUGACGUCAAAUCAUCAUGCCCCUUAUGUCCAGGGCUUCACACAUGCUACAAUGGUCGGUACAGUGGGUUGCCAGUCCGUGAGGGCGAGCUAAUCCCGCAAAGCCGGUCUCAGUUCGGAUCGGGGUCUGCAACUCGACCCCGUGAAGUCGGAGUCGCUAGUAAUCGCAGAUCAGCAACGCUGCGGUGAAUACGUUCCCGGGCCU